rnacentral:hammerhead_ribozyme from 1 species
GGAUGCUGAGGAAUCCAACCACAGGACGAAACGGCCGUCCAGUGC